rnacentral:snRNA from 1 species
UACCGGCGAUUGAUGUCGCAU